rfam:Camelus ferus unplaced genomic scaffold scaffold505, whole genome shotgun sequence.
GAGGGUGUAGCUCAGGUGGUAGAGCACAUGUUUUGCAUGCAUGAGGUCCUGGGUUCAAUCCCCAGUAUCUCCU